rnacentral:rRNA from 1 species
CGGCACCUCAAGUGGUCAGGAUGAUUAUUGGGCCUAAAGCAUCCGUAGCCGGCGCUGUAAGUUUUCGGUUAAAUCUGUACGCUCAACAUACAGGCUGCCGGGAAUACUGCAGAGCUAGGGAGUGGGAGAGGUAGACGGUACUCGGUAGGAAGGGGUAAAAUCCUUUGAUCUAUUGAUGACCACCUGUGGCGAAGGCGGUCUACCAGAACACGUCCGACGGUGAGGGAUGAAAGCUGGGGGAGCAAACCGGAUUAGAUACCCGCUUAGUCC